AAAACUAAAGCAUUUAGAUGCUUUCCGCUUACACCGGAAAGAAGACAAAGUUUGUCUAGUUUUA
rnacentral:tRNA from 1 species